AUGAUGCUUAAUUGUUUUGUUGAGAUAAGAAGGUUGUCCUAUAACAUAUUUAUUAAUCUUACCAGACUCAUACGCCAGAGCUUGGGAGAUCUUACAAUGAAAUGGCGAAAGGUUUUAAAAGAGGCAUACACAUUGGAGACACUGCAAACUGUUUGCCGAUUCAUUCGGUGCCAUCCUCCAGUUCUCUGUUUAUUGCUUUGCCUAUUAAUAUUGUACAAGUACUACUUCAGCUGGCUCUCUCUCCUUGUGGCUGCAUCACCAAUCUUCGUAUUCACUGGUUUAUUCCUUGGGGUCAUCCUAACUUACGGUGAACCGAACAAUCCGGAAAAUGAUCAUAUCUACAAAAAGAUAGAGAAGGCUCCUGAAACUUGGAAUAUUCACAACACUGCUAAACCAAUUGAGGAUGUAUGUAUUCCAAGAAUUAUAUCUAGCGAAGAAAGAAUAGCUAACCACAACAACAAUGAAAAUAAAUUUCGGAAGGGAUCUCAUAGCCGAGGCUCUUCAUCCAAAUCAGCAUCAAGUGCAUCAGAUGGCUCAGAAAUCGAUACCCAUCCCAUGCUUCACGCAUUUCAUGAGCUUAGGUCGGCCGCCAAUUCAUCGGUGUCUUCUCAAGAUGGGGAUUCCAUUGACAGCAACAUUGAGGAUGAAACCGGAAAUCAAGAGGGCAAUGAUGAAAAUGAACUUGAGGAGAAAGGAAGUGCUAAAGUUGUGGCAUGGACUGCUGACGAUCAGAAGAGCAUCUUGAAAAUUGGAUGUUUGGAGAUUGAGAGAAACCAAAGGUUGGAGACCUUGAUUGGACGCAGGGCUAGAAAAUAUGUAGGUAGGAACUUGAGAGAGUUUGGCAACAAUGAGCCUCUCCCAACAAAGGAGGAGCUCUCAAAAUUUAAUCUUCAAAUUCCAACUAUUUUUGCACCUAGGAUAAAUCCUUUCGAUCUUCCCUACAACGAAGAUAACUUCCCAGAGUCUGCCCCAUCUGCACCAACUAAAAUGAGAAAUGCAUUUGACAUUACAUGCGAGCAAGAGGAUGAAAGUAGCUCCACUGGAGGUGCUAACUCAAGUAAUGUGGAGCCUACUUGUGUUGCGUCUCAAAUAAGAAAGAUUACAAUGCUUAGGAGCCAUGAGAGCUUCACAGAAGGAGCAUCAUUUCUCGCUAAUUUCCGGCAAAAUCUACAACCUUCUCGGUUCAAACCAUACUUUGUUACAGAAAACAUGUCCGACGAGGGGACUACAGUUCCAAGUCUUCAAGGAGAAGCUAGUGAAAAGAGCUCGGUUCAGGAUUUGGACAAUUUUUCAGUUAACGAUCAAGAAAUCCAAAAUGUUCUAUUGGCUCUCGACACCGAGACACCCGUACUAAUUAGUGAUUCAUCAGAUGAUGACAUGUAUCUACCAGGUGAACAUAUAAAUGAUUGGGUGGAAGCUCAAAACAAUGAAAAUUUAAAUUUAUGUCAUGCUGCUCCAUUAGAAGGACUUAGUGUAGUGCAAUACCCACAAGAAAUGGAGACGAUGAGCAAUGCUUUACAUCAGAUGUCUCCACAUUCAUGUGAUCUUGACUUGAUGCCAUCAUCAACUGAAGCUACAGAACCUUUUGCACGUAAUAGCAAUGAAGUACCAGGCAAGGAAGUUGAUACCCUUGAUGACACCCAGAUGGGUGACCCAGUUGACGAUACAAGUCCAUCUGGAAGCGAUAAGCCUACAUCUAUGAGUUCUCCAAUUGGUGUACUUUUGUUGCAUGAAGGCUAUCCUCAUACUGCUGCUACGAGCAAGGAAGAAAUGGGUUUACCAUCAAUGAGUGAGGUUCCUUCUAGUGAGAUAGCCUCCCCUAGUUUGGCUUCAUUGGAGGAAAGCAGACAAAACAAAACUUCAGAGAUAAGGGACUCAUGA
rnacentral:rRNA from 1 species